rnacentral:rRNA from 1 species
UACGGAGGAUGCAAGCGUUAUCCGGAAUGAUUGGGCGUAAAGCGUCCGCAGGUGGCUAUGUAAGUCUGCUGUUAAAGAGUGAGGCUCAACCUCAUAAGAGCAGUGGAAACUACAUGGCUAGAGUGCGUUCGGGGCAGAGGGAAUUCCUGGUGUAGCGGUGAAAUGCGUAGAGAUCAGGAAGAACACCGGUGGCGAAAGCGCCUUGCUGGGUCUGCACUGACACUGAGGGACGAAAGCUAGGGGAGCGAAAGGG